rnacentral:rRNA from 1 species
AUACGGAGGGUGCAAGCGUUAAUCGGAAUUACUGGGCGUAAAGCGUACGUAGGCGGUUAUUUAAGUCAGAUGUGAAAGCCCCGGGCUUAACUUGGGAACUGCAUUUGAAACUGGGUAACUAGAGUUUAGUAGAGGGGAGUGGAAUUUCAGGUGUAGCGGUGAAAUGCGUAGAGAUCUGAAGGAACACCAGUGGCGAAGGCGACUCCCUGGACUAAAACUGACGCUCAGGUACGAAAGCGUGGGGAGCAAACAGGAUUAGAUACCCUAGUAGUCC